rnacentral:misc_RNA from 1 species
CGUUUCCUGAGUUUCUCGUUUACCCACCGGCGUCUCUUUUGUUCAUUCGCUUAGGUAAAAGUUGAUCUUGAGCUUGAGCUCAAGCUUAUUGAGCUCAAACUCAAGCUUGAGCUUGAGCCUAUCGAGCUUGAGUUUGAGCUUGUUUUAAUGAGAUUAUUGAGCUCGGCUCAUUUAAACCCCUACCAGCAACCACUUCUCCUCCCUUUCUCUUAGUUCUCUCCCUACUGCAACUCCAAAUUCCAACGCAUAUCUUGUAUCUCCAUGCUGAAUCAGGUU